rnacentral:misc_RNA from 1 species
AAGUCGUAACAAGGUCUCCGUAGGUGAACCUGCGGAGGGAUCAUUACUGAGUGAGGGCUCACGCCCGACCUCCAACCCUUUGUGAACGUAACUCGUUGCUUCGGGGGCGACCCUGCCGUCAUCUGGCGACGGGCGCCCCCGGAGGCCUUCAAACACUGCAUCUUUGCGUCGGAGUAAAAGUUAAUUAAACAAAACUUUCAACAACGGAUCUCUUGGUUCUG